UUUGCAUCAAAAGAAUGCUUUCAUGUGAUAAUGCCGGGGAAGGUUUUCCGGUUUAUCCCGGAGGGCUUGUAGCUCAGUUGGUUASAGCGCGCGCUUGAUAAGCGUGAGGUCGGAGGUUCAAGUCCUCCCAGGCCCACCAAUUAUCCAUCCAUAGAAAAGCGCUUAGGGAGCUUGAAAAAGAGCUUUCUCGUAAAGUUUGAAAAAAAACUUGUUUAUCGCUUUUUGUAAGAUGUGGCGUUUGUCUGUUUUUAAAGCGGUCGAAACCAAAAGUGUUGCAAAGACAAGGGUCUUGGAGCAGGAAAGAAUAUAAGGUCCAGGUGGUAUCACAUGGUCUAGAGUUGAACUGUUCAGGAUUGGA
rnacentral:tRNA from 1 species